AGCUGAGGUACUGGCCUUUUUCUUUAAACCUAGUUGCUUAGCAACUAGGAAAGAUAGAGCAUUUUUAGAAAAUAAGUCCUGAUUGUUUAACAGUGGUUUUAAGAUUUUAAAUCGCGGGGAUUUUUAGUAGCUUGGACUCGGUUACACAAAUUUUAAUGAGAAAGUCUUACUCCCACUGAAAUCAAGGGAAGACUCAGUUUGCAAGUUCUCUGCCGCAGUGUACUGUGAAGAAGGAGGAGUGAGCAAAUGACCAUGUGGUGCUGAACUGUCUGCUGGGCUAGAAGGAAAACUACUGCUUGUGUUUCCUGGAUUUGGUGCAGAAUACAGCUGUCAGAGUCCCUUGGAGAACACAGCAGAUUUUCAACACCUUAAAGAUGAUCUAAAAGUUGUCAGUUAUUGAGUGGUAACACUGAUAAGUGGGAAAACACUUUGAUUAGCACUUGAUGCAAAAUCAUUCCCAGCACCCUAUCAAUUAGCAUUUAUGCUGCUGUCGCUGGCUCCUGCAUAUAUUUUGUUUGAUGUGCUGAAUACCAAAUACAAAAAAUCUACAUAGUUUUCAUUCAUCAUAAAACUCAGUAAGAAGUUUUAAGUCAACUGUAUGGCCCUAACCAUUUCUUGACUACUUUCUUAUGAGGCCUAAUGAUUCUUGAGACUCUUUCGGUUUAAAAAAAAAUAAAUCAUUUUAAUAGUACAUGGCAGUGUCGUCAAUGGGACAUUUAUUUGAGUUUUACAGGAAAACCACUAUUGUGCUUAUUGAAAUAAAACAAAAGUUAACUUAAAAUCGACUUAAUGUCAUAUUUUUCUCUCUCAUUCUUUAAGAAAGCAAAUGCCUCAGCCUGUAUAGACAAGUGAUACAUUGGUGUGUUUCUCUACAGAUUGCAAGAUCCUGCUUUUCUAUUUAGAGGAAAACUAGAACUUAGUGAAUUUGGCUCUGAACUAUAUUCAAAACACUGAAGUUCAAGAACAAAUUUUGUGCAUAACUUAAAAUAUAAUCCAUUAUUAUGACUGCAUUUACUAAUCUUAAAAGCACUUACAUCUCAGGUCUGAGACCUGGUUAAAUCCCCACAGUGCUUGUUCUUCACUUUUUAAAGGCUUCCAGAACAGUAGGUAAAGGGUUCCCACAGAACUCCUUUUCAGCACUAUCCCACUCAGCUUGACGUGGGGGUUCUGGAUGACUCUUCCAUCUGUGACUCUGGAAGAAAGUGUCUGAAAAUCAAAUAUUUCCUAACUGAGAUACCUCAUUAACACCUCAUUCUUAAUUCUUGGAUAUGGACCAAGCUUAAGGAGGAGAUGAGCCACUCAGGCUGUCAGCAUCAAAGUACAGAUAUAUCUCCAGAUGACCACUUUACUUCUAACAUCUGCUGACACAUUCGACUUGCUGAAUGUUGGCUGCUGAUCCAAAACAGAGGCUGAAGAUGAUUUUUCAGUGUUUGGACAAUGUCUGCUAUUAUCCCAGCUCUUUAAGCAGCACAGAAGUUUGUGCUGGACUAAAACUCUGAAACAGUAUUCAUAAUUAGAGAUACAUUUUCCUUGCUUGCCCUUCUUUGCCCCAGACAGACAUUCAGUUUGCUACAGUUAAUGAUAGAUAUCCUAACAAGACACCUCAUAGAGCAGCCAGGGCACAUAGCAGAACAGUUGAACACAGUAUUUUGAAGUCUGAUGGCAACUCAGAAGACCAGACCCCCAUACCCCAGCCAGUUUCCAAACAUAUUUUUUUUUAUUUUCUUGCAUUCUUUUUAUUUUUCCUGUGCUUCAAUUUUUCACAUCCCCAGUCUUUCUUUGUAACCAAAUUUAAAUUAAUUUAUCCUAUCAUCAUCAGUGCUGUUUUAGCUGUUAAUGUAACAAUAUGGCCACUCUAUAGAAAGUAAACUAAAAUAUUGUAAUUAA